AUCUUCGGGGCGGGGCGUAAUUCCCCACCGGCGGUAUAGUCCGCGACCCGCGUAAGCGGCUGAUAUGGUGAAAUUCCAUAACCGACAGUUAAAGUCUGGAUGAGAGAAGA
rnacentral:ncRNA from 1 species